UCUCCCAGGAAGGGGUCUCUCUGUGGGUCGGAAGUUAGCAGGAAGUGGGGGCAGAAGGAGCCCCUGGAGAAGCGAGAGGUCUGAGAAAGGUAAAGAGGGGCGCCAGUCGACCACGGACCCCCCUUCUCCGCUUUAUAUUGCAAGAAAGGAAAUCGGAAUAGCUACGAAGGGAGGCGGAUGGUCAGAGGAGAAAGAGGGAAGCUGCUGCAUCGGAUGCUGGGAGCUCCAGAGCUCCAGACCCCUUGAUCUGCAUUCUUCCAAUCCAGACCAUUGGUCCACUGGGAGAGGAGAGCAGAGGGGCACUUGAAGGAGUCCGUGUCAGGAUAAAAAGGUUAUGGAGAAGACAGUGUGUCAUCUGUAAUUUCAUUUGGAAAUAUGAAGAGACUAUUUAAAUGUGGUGAAUGUGGAAUGUGCUUCAGUCCAUGUGCACAGUUAAUAAACUCACAUCAAUAAACUCACAGAGUGGGGAAACCGUUUAAAGGUAUGGAGUGUGGAAAGAGCGUCAGACACACUUCAUCUCUUACUUUACAUCAUCUAACUCACAUGAGU